AGGUCAUUUCAAAGAGGGCUGCUUGUGGGACCAAAACUAGGAGUUCUUAACUCUGUGACCAAAGAUUCAAUUUCUCCAUAGGAUAUAACAGUCACUCAAUAGUGCUGUUUUCCUAAGGAGAUAUAAGA